CACUUAUUUCAUUAAAAAAAUUUAUUUUCCUUUUCAUUGAUAGUAUAGAUAAACAUGAGCAUAUACAUCAUACAUAACAUGACAAUAACAAUGUGCCAAAUGACCGUGGUAUAUACAAUUAUCUAUGUUCAUACUUGACUGCUUUCAAGUGAUAAUACUGCUCAACCUGGACUAACAAAAUAAGUCCUGUAAUAACAUUUGCAAAGAUUCCAGUGGAGAUGAAAAAUACUUAAAUUAUUUAAUGUCCUCUCUCAUGGCAGCAUCCGCAGCUCAAACGGUCCAAUGUACUCUACAAUCGAUAUAGAACUCAUCGCAAAGUGUACACACAUUCCAACAAAGAAUUAGUCCCUUCUGGUGCUUGACAAAUACCUCCUCCAUAUUAGAAAGGCAGGAGUAAAACC